rnacentral:rRNA from 1 species
UACGUAGGGGGCAAGCGUUGUCCGGAUUUAUUGGGCGUAAAGAGCGUGUAGGCGGCUUGGUAGGUCUCGCGUCAAAACCUGAGGCUCAACCUCAGUUCGCGUGGGAAACCACCUAGCUAGAGUCCGGAAGAGGAGAACGGAAUUCCCAGUGUAGCGGUGAAAUGCGCAGAUAUUGGGAAGAACACCAGUGGCGAAGGCGGUUCUCUGGGACGGUACUGACGCUGAGACGCGAA